UUUCCUGGGGUGUUCGAUACCUCCGUCAUUUUUGAACCUACAAAUCGACAUAAGGGAUUCCAAUAUUUGCAUGCGGAUGUCAGGCCUCCUUAGCAGUGGAAGGCAGAAGUAUGCGUGAGGUCACCCACCUGGCUACUGGCUGGGAGUCAAAAAGCGGAGCCGGCAUCCCGGGAUU
rnacentral:other from 1 species